CCAUGAGAACUUAAUGGAUUUGUUUGAUAAACUGAAGACAAACAUUUCCUCCAGCAUCUCCAAGGUCCGACUCUUGACAGUAAGGAUUUUAAGUCAUUUUGAGUCUCAGCUUCCUACAUCAACCAAGGAUGAUGGAACAGGAGAGCUUCAAUCCGUGUUUG